UACGUAGGGUGCAAGCGUUGUCCGGAAUUAUUGGGCGUAAAGAGCUCGUAGGCGGUUUGUCGCGUCUGCUGUGAAAACUCGGGGCUUAACUCCGGGCCUGCAGUGGGUACGGGCAGACUAGAGUGCGGUAGGGGAGACUGGAAUUCCUGGUGUAGCGGUGAAAUGCGCAGAUAUCAGGAGGAACACCGGUGGCGAAGGCGGGUCUCUGGGCAUUAACUGACGCUGAGGAGCGAAAGCAUGGGGGAGCGAACAGG
rnacentral:rRNA from 1 species